rnacentral:rRNA from 1 species
UACAUAGAAUGCAAGCGUUAUCCGGAAUGAUUGGGCGUAAAGCGUCUGUAGGUGGUUUAAAAAGUCAACUGUUAAAAACUAAGGCUCAACCUUAGGCAGGCAGUUGAAACUUUUAAACUAGAGUAUGGCAGAGGUAGAGGGAAUUACUGGUGUAACGGUGAAAUGUGCAGAUAUCAGUAAGAACACCAAUGGCGAAAGCACUCUACUGGACCAAAACUGACACUCAGAGACGAAAGCUAGGGGAGCGAAUAGG